ensembl:lncRNA
GGAGGAUCCCUUCAAUAGGCAAAGGGCCUGGACACCAGGCGGGGCUGUUCUCUUAGUGCAAGUCUCACUGGACUGCUGUUGAAUCUUCUUUCUCAUUGGUUUAAUUGCCCUUUCAGUUCCUCAUCCUACUGAAUAAUGGUGCAGAAUCCAUUUUAUGCCUCUCAGUCCAUCUCUUUGUUUCAGCUAUGCCUGUGCUGGUCUCCUUGCUGUUGUAGUGUGAAAUAUUCAGGGAGAAAUGUAAAAUUCCCUCAUCUGAAAGUCUCGUACCACAUCUUAGAGCUUGCCAUGAGGCACAGAACAUUCCUGGUUCUACCUGCUUCUCAGAGGAAAGGAAAACUGCAAGCACAACGCUGUCUGGUCUCAGCAGAAGCUUUGGAGACCAGCCUGUUUUCAUGGAAAUGGGGUAGUUACUAUUAGUUUGGUUUUAUGUCAGGACUUGAGUGAUUCCUAAAUCGUUCUUCUUUUCAUAAAGCGGUUUGUGAAUCACACGUAUGAAGUGACAGAGUAAGCAAAUCCUGCUUCCCUUUGAUGCACAGUCACCGAACUUUCUCACUUUUGUAACAGUUCCCUGGAAUUUUCUGGCUUAUGAUUAAUAUUCCAAUGCAAGUUAUUAAAAAAUAAAACAACGCUACUACCUUGUUUUCUUGUUUAAAGAGAACAAGAAAGUUGUGUAAGCUAAAAUGAAAACAAAACUGGUUUGCAGCUGAAUAAUUGUGUAACCUACAUGUGAAGAAAUGAGAUGAGGAAAGGGCUGAGGAGAAACGGACUGACACGAACCCUGCAGGAAACGUAUGUAACAGUCCGAGCUGAUGUUCUUUGUGUCUAAUAGCACAAUGGGGAAGAGUUGCACCGGGCAGGAGUUGGUCCGUCUGCAAACAGGGGAUUUACAGCAGGUCCCAGGUACUUCCCAGGUACUGUGCUGCUGAAUCACAGCCAAAAUGUCACAGAGGACAUAGGUAACAUACCCAGCUCUUUGUGUACAAACGUUUUUUGCAUUCACGGUAUUUGGCUCACAAAGGCCAGGACAGGCUGGGUGUGAACAGGACUGCUGUCCUUUGAACACUUGGCCACCUGUGCCAAAAAAAAACCUGUAGUCUUUUUCUUUUUUUUUUUUUUCCUGAUACAUCAAGACACUUCAGUUUCAUACAAUCUUAAGAUGUACAGCACUUUUUGAAAUAGGAAUUGCAUUUUUCUUCUUUGAAAU